UGGGGCAGCCCUGUUGGGCACGUGUGACUGGGGGAAUGGAGAAGGCUAGGGCAUGAAAGGGGAUGGGAUGGCAGAGGGGACCCUGACUUGGAGGAAAGACAAUGAGCUCACCCCUUUGUGCCCUAUGUUGGGGACAGUGUUGGCGCAUCCUACAGGACAUGCCCAGCAGACAGAGGAGCGGCUGUGGGAUGAGAAGAUGAACUCAGAGAUGCAGUGUGAGGCCUCCGGGUACAGAAAGCUCUGGAGUCCAAAGCGAUGAGCCAUGCAUUGAUGUUAAAAAAGAAGGUUAUAAAUAUUUAAGGCAGCACUCAAGUGUGUUCUAACAUAAAUGCUGUGAUCCUGAGGUCCUGGGGAUUGAGAGAGGAAGUGAUGUCACUGUGGGAACUGCCCUGUGGGGACAAGGACGUCCAUCAUCCUCUGCUCCUGCUCACAGUGACACUGAUCUGGUAACGCCCCCGUCCUGGCCUGACCCUGCCAUGGGCACCAGGCUCCUCUGCUGGGUGGUCCUGGGUUUCCUAGGGACAGAUCACACAGGUGCUGGAGUCUCGCAGUCCCCAAGAUACAAAGUCACGAAGAGGGGCCAGGAUGUAGCUCUCAGGUGUGAUCCAAUUUCCGGUCAUGAUUACCUUUACUGGUACCAACAGGCCCUGGGGCAGGGCCCAGCGUUUCUGACUUACUUCCAGGAUGAUGCUCAACGAGACAAAUCAGGGCUGCCCAAUGAUCGGUUCUCUGCAGAGAGGACUGAGGGAUCCGUCUCCACUCUGAAGAUCCAGCGCACAGAGCAGGGGGACUCGGCCGUGUAUCUCUGUGCCAGCAGCUUAGCCACAGCGUGGCACAGUCACCUCCUUCCUGUUCACAAACCUCAUCCUUCUCUCUCCUUGCAGCUACUAGAGACCCUUAGCAGAGGCCUCUCUUUCUCCUCAUUUUUCAUGGGAAAGGAGUAGAUUUGGACAUCGGCUGUCCUUUGGGUAGAAAGAGACCACAGAUUCAUUCGUGAAACACAGUGACUGCAAAUGUAGGUGGUGAAAACAAUCACGGCCCGCUGCACUCUAGGAGUCCUCGGAACCAGCUCACUUCUUCAAGCAAGGAGUGGGUGUCUUAGCCUCGGCCUUCAGGGCAGACAUGCAUCUUCUAUAGG